rnacentral:rRNA from 1 species
GUGGGGAAUUUUGGACAAUGGGCGCAAGCCUGAUCCAGCAAUGCCGCGUGUGUGAAGAAGGCCUUCGGGUUGUAAAGCACUUUUGGCAGGAAAGAAAUAGUGCGUGCUAAUACCAUGCGCGAAUGACGGUACCUGCAGAAUAAGCACCGACUAACUACGUGCCAGCAGCCGCGGUAGACGUAGGGUGCAAGCGUUAAUCGGAAUUACUGGGCGUAAAGCGUGCGCAGGCGGUUUUGUAAGACAGGUGUGAAAUCCCCGGGCUCAACCUGGGAACUGCACUUGUGACUACAAGGCUAGAGUGUGUGAGAGGGAGGUGGAAUUCCGCGUGUAGCAGUGAAAUGCGUAGAGAUGCGGAGGAACACCGAUGGCGAAGGCAGCCGCCUGGGAUAACACUGACGCUCAGGCACGAAAGCGUGGGGAGCAAACAGGAUUAGAAACCCCAGUAGUCC